GCUCAGAAACUCAAGGAAUUGACGGGGCCCGCACAAGCGGUGGAGCAUGUGGUUAAUUCGACGCAACGCGCAGAACCUUACCUGGGCUUGACAUCCCGAUCGCACUUUCUGGAAACAGAGAGGUCAGUUCGGCUGGAUCGGUGACAGGUGCUGCAUGGCUGUCGUCAGCUCGUGUCGUGAGAUAUUGGGUUAAGUCCCGCAACGAGCGCAACCCUCGUCCUUAGUUGCCAGCAUUAAGUUGGGCACUCUAAGGAGACUGCCGGUGUUAAACCGGAGGAAGGCGGGGAUGACGUCAAGUCCUCAUGGCCCUUAUGUCCAGGGCUACACACGUGCUACAAUGGCCGGUACAAAGGGUAGCAAGACCGCGAGGUGGAGCCAAUCCCAAAAAGCCGGUCUCAGUUCGGAUUGGAGUCUGCAACUCGACUCCAUGAAGUUGGAAUCGCUAGUAAUCGUGGAUCAGCAUGCCACGGUGAAUACGUUCCCGGGCCUU
rnacentral:rRNA from 1 species